CAUUAUUUCCAUUUCACAUAUUAUAUUCAUACAAUUUAGUGGUUGAUUGUAAAAUAUAUCAACGUUUUUGUUCACAACCAAAUAAGGCAACGUUGUAUACUAAUUUUAUCACAAUAAUUGCGAUAUGGUAUUUAUAAUUAAUUACGUUUAUUAGUCAACCGCACAACGAAACAUAAAUAUUAACUAUAAUUAACAUAAUUAUAAUUGUUAUUGAUAUCUCUCUUUAAUCUUUUAAUAUUUUUACUGUGAACGCAGUGUAGAAGUUACUUCAGUUUCUUUUUAGCUUUUGGAGUAAUACCCGCUCGGGCAGACUGCUUAGGAACACACGAGCUACAACUUAGAAGGAUAAACUUAUACGUGUGAUAAAAUUCCUAAACACCGUCAGUCAAAAAUCAUGAAAUUUUAUUCGUUAUUGGUCAUGGCAGUUAUCGUGGGAUUGGCGGCAUCAGAUUGUGGAAAAGAUGAAUACUACCAAAAUGAUAUUUGUAUGGAGCACUGUGCUUUUCCGAUAUCGGCAGAUGAUCGUUAUGUUAGAGGUACAUGUGUAUUAUCGUCUAAAUAUAAAGUCAAGUAUGGAUCGUCUGGUUUUGUAUGGCAAAAUUGUUGGAAAUGUACCCCAGAUGUUUUACGUUAUUGAUAAAUUUCGAUAUAGAGACUCCUAACUUUGUGUUAUUUUUUUGUUAAUAUUCUAUUACAUUCGAUUUAUAAUGUUAAAUAGCUAACAAUUAAAAAGUCACAGAGUCUCAAUAUUAUACUUUUUAUGAUAUUAUAUAGUAUUAAAAUAUCUAAUGUAUCUUUAAGUAUAAUAUUAUACUAGGUAUAUAUUAAUAUAAUAUAUAAACUGGAUUUAAAUAUAAUUUGUUUUGUGUAAAAAUAGUUUUGGUCCUUUAAAUUAACUGAUAUAUUAUGAUAUGCAAAUGUAUAACAAUAAUACUGUAAUGAUGUAAAUCAGGGGCUAAAAUACUGUGUUCCCUGAUAUACUUUGUGUCCCCUGAAUAACAAAUGACAUGUGUGUUCCAAGUUUUAUAACGUGUUUUUAGUUUUAUAGAAAUAACAAACAUUAAUCAUUUAAUAUUUUAAUUUACUAGUUACCUAUUCUGUUAACUUAAGUUAAUUACCUACCUACUUAUUUUAUUUCUAUACUAUGGACAAGUUUGUUAUAAAAAAAAAAGAAGAAAUGAUAAUGGGUCAAUUCAAAGUAAUUAGGUACCUGCUUUAGUAUAAAUUAACUAAACAUGCAGGUACAUAGAAUAUUUAAAUUAUUCUAUGCUGUGUUUAUUAAAAUAUAAUAUUGUUUAUAUUGUAAUAUCUACUGAAAAGUUGACUAGUAAGAGCAUCGUAAUUUAUAGAAUAUUGUCAUAAUAUUAUAUAAUUAUAUAGGUAUAGGUACUAUAGCAUAUUAUAAAUAUGUAUUGAUGUUUAUUUUAAGUCUAAAAUAUAUUAAAAUACCGUCAAACGGCCGAACUUGGGGCAGUUUUGAAAUUCUAAUGUAAAUAACUUUAAGAUUAAUUAAUCUAGACAUAUUUUCAAUGUAAUAUUAUUUUUAAAUUAAGGUUUGAUACUUUGAUGUAUUGAUAUCUGUUGCAUUUGAAUCAUACAAAUUAUUCCUUC